rnacentral:rRNA from 1 species
AGCAGCCGCGGUAAUUCCAGCUCCAAUAGCGUAUAUUAAAGUUGUUGCAGUUAAAAAGCUCGUAGUUGAAUUUCGGGAUCAAUACGUCGGUCGUGCUUCGGUACGUACUGGCGUAAUUGAUUUCUCCCUUCUGACGAACCAUGAUGUCAUUAACUUGGUGUCAUGGGAAAUCAGGACUGUUACUUUGAAAAAAUUAGAGUGUUUAAAGCAGGCUCACGCUUGAAUACAUUAGCAUGGAAUAAUGAAAUAGGACGUUCGAUCCUAUUUUGUUGGUUUUUAGGAUCAACGUAAUGAUUAAUAGGGAUAGUUGGGGGCAUUAGUAUUCAAUUGUCAGAGGUGAAAUUCUUGGAUUUAUUGAAGACUAACUACUGCGAAAGCAUUUGCCAAGGAUGUUUUCAUUAGUCAAGAACGAAGUUAGGGGAUCGAAGACGAUCAGAUACCGUCGUAGUCUUAACCAUAAACUAUGCCGACUAGGGAUC